rnacentral:lncRNA from 1 species
GAAAAAUCCGUACGGAUGAUAGGUUUUAUGCUCUUUUUCCUCUGAGUAUAUUUACUUUAAGAUAUCUUUUCUUUAUUGACACUCUUAAUAAAACAAUUUAAAUAGUAUAAAAGUAUAUUUCGGUCCAGUUAUGGAUGACAAGAACAUUUCUAAUGAGAUCUGAACAGGAAGAGGUCAGGUGCAGUAACGUGUGGGUUAAAGCACUUCCUCUACACAAAGUGUAGUAAGACAGACUGUGUAAACAAGUAAUGAUUCAUUGUCUUUUAUCUGGAUGAAAGGAGCUAAUUUAGUUAUAAAUUCUAUGCACUUCAUUUUUGAGGAAAUAACUGAUUCUAUGAUGAUCUCUGAUGCUUUUCUGCCAGUUUGCUGCUGUUUGAACCCUUGGAAGGUAUUAGUCUGAAUAAAUCACAGCUCAGACUUUGCUAUAUGUGGUUUGCUUUUAUUUCGAUUUUUUUCUUCUUUCAAGGAUGGAAAGUAGAUCUUUAUAAAGGAGUCUCACGGAGAAAAAAUAAAUUAAUUCUUUUCAAGGCAAUCUAUCUGAUUUGAGCUGUUCAUUUAAUAGAGAGAGAAGUGAGAUUGAAAACAAAAUCUCCAAAGGCUGGUUCUGGUAGAACAAGAAGCUUGUCCAGGCGGAGUUGAUUAAGCAGUGACGAUGAAAGAGACAGGGAUGUUUAUGGAAAAGCCACCAAGAACAUGCAUAUUGAGUCCUUUCUACAUUUACAUUCAUUUGCAGUCAGAGGCUGCUUCUGCAACGUGAGUGUCGGAGCUCACCGCGUGGGAGCGAGCGCCGUGGCGUGCUUAUGUGCAGAAGCACUCACGGGCCAGGUCCUUCCUUGUACAGAAAUGCAUUUGGCAAAAGCUCUGCAAAAACCAGCCGUGGAGGGACAUUCUGAGAUCGGAGCAAGGCCAGGGAUCUCCGCACAAAGGGCUCGAGGUGCUGAGGAAAGGCAGAUUUCAUGGGGGUUUAUCACCAUGUCCCUCUCAGGUUCUGCUCAAUUUAGCUUUACGCAAGGCAGGGUUGACUUCACCAUGAUUUCGCGUGAAUUGGGGCUGUUCAGACUGAGUCAGAGGACAAAGUCCUGGUGAGGCACCCUGGGGCUGCCCAUGCAGCCACUCUGAAUUCACCCGCGGAGCCGAGGACCUGCGCGAGCUCCUUGCAGUGCUUGGCAGGCAUGGUGGCAGGGCAGGUCCCCAAGGGCACCCCGCUGCCUCAGACGUGACAUCUGGUUGCACUGCUCUUG